AUUGAACGCUGGCGGCAUGCCUUACACAUGCAAGUCGAACGGCAGCACGGGAGCAAUCCUGGUGGCGAGUGGCGAACGGGUGAGUAAUACAUCGGAACGUGCCCAGUAGUGGGGGAUAGCCCGGCGAAAGCCGGAUUAAUACCGCAUACGACCUGAGGGUGAGAGCGGGGGAUCGCAAGACCUCGCGCUAUUGGAGCGGCCGAUGUCGGAUUAGCUAGUUGGUGGGGUAAAGGCUCACCAAGGCAACGAUCCGUAGCUGGUCUGAGAGGACGACCAGCCAAACUGGGACUGAGACACGGCCCAGACUCCUACGGGAGGCAGCAGUGGGGAAUUGUGGACAAUGGGCGCAAGCCUGAUCCAGCCAUGCCGCGUGCGGGAAGAAGGCCUUCGGGUUGUAAACCGCUUUUGUCAGGGAAGAAACGCUCUGGGCUAAUACCCCGGGGUAAUGACGGUACCUGAAGAAUAAGCACCGGCUAACUACGUGCCAGCCGCCGCCGUAAUAC
rnacentral:rRNA from 1 species